AGAGUUUGAUCAUGGCUCAGGAUGAACGCUGGCGGCGUGCUUAACACAUGCAAGUCGAACGAACCUUCGGGUUAGUGGCGGACGGGUGAGUAACGCGUGAGAAUCUGCCCUCAGGAGGGGGAUAACGGUUGGAAACGACCGCUAAUACCCCAUAUGCCGCGAGGUGAAAUGAAUUUCGCCUGAGGAUGAGCUCGCGUCUGAUUAGCUAGUUGGUGGGGUAAAGGCCUACCAAGGCAUCGAUCAGUAGCUGGUCUGAGAGGAUGAUCAGCCACACUGGGACUGAGACACGGCCCAGACUCCUACGGGAGGCAGCAGUGGGGAAUUUUCCGCAAUGGGCGAAAGCCUGACGGAGCAACGCCGCGUGAGGGAUGAAGGCCUCUGGGCUGUAAACCUCUUUUAUCAAGGAAGAAGAUCUGACGGUACUUGAUGAAUAAGCCACGGCUAAUUCCGUGCCAGCAGCCGCGGUAAUACGGGAGUGGCAAGCGUUAUCCGGAAUUAUUGGGCGUAAAGCGUCCGCAGGCGGCCCUUCAAGUCUGCUGUUAAAAAGUGGAGCUUAACUCCAUCAUGGCAGUGGAAACUGUUGGGCUUGAGUGUGGUAGGGGCAGAGGGAAUUCCCGGU
rnacentral:rRNA from 1 species